rnacentral:rRNA from 1 species
CGGGGAAACUUACCAGGGCCAGAUAGCAGGAGGAUUGACAGAUUGAGAGUCUUUCUUGAUUUGCUAGGUGGUGGUGCAUGGUCGUUCUUAGUUGGUGGUGUGAAUUGUCUGGUUAAUUCCGAUAACGAACGAGACCUUGGCAUGCUAAGUAGAUUCCUGGCAGGCGGAGGGCCCGCAGCAAUGGGGGCCGGACACUGCGCAGCCUGGGGGAUUUCUUAGAGGGACUAUUCAUGUACUUUCUAGACUAAUGGAUGGAAGGACGAGGCAAUAACAGGUCUGUGAUGCCCUUCGAUGCUCUGGGCUGCACGCGCGCUACAAUGGUGGACUCAACGAGCCUAGUCCAGGAGGACGCCGGGAGGGGCGGGGGGGCAACCCCCUGUGCCUGCUGGGGCCCUUGCGGAUGAACCUAGCUCGAGAGAGCGGGGGAAUCUUAGGAGCGUCCACCAAGCUGGGGAUAGAUCAUUGGAAUUAUUGGUCUUGAACGAGGAAUUCCUAGUAAGCACAAGUCAUCAGCUUGUGUUGAUUACGUCCCUGCCCUUUGUACACACCGCCCGUC